GGUAAGUGGCUGAGCGAUAGAGCAUCACCUUGCCAAGGCGAGGGUCGCGGGUUCGAUUCCCGUCUGCCG
rnacentral:tRNA from 2 species